GCCGAGGUAGCUCAGUGGUAGAGCAGAGGACUGAAAAUCCUUGUGUCGGCAGUUCAAUUCUGCCCUUCGGCACCA
rnacentral:tRNA from 1 species